rnacentral:lncRNA from 10 species
GUGAGCAGAGCUUCUCACGCUUCUCACGGGUCUCGACGUGCGCAUCAGCUGCCCUGCUUUUCUUUGCUUUUUUUUUUUCCUUAAUUGCGGAGUCACAUGCAGUUCCUCUUUUUACAGGUAGAACAGAUGGUUUGAAAAGGAAAGAUUUUUUUUUCACAUAUGGGGAAAAAAAAUUCCCAGCCUUGGAAGGAUAUUUGGGUUAGAGGCCGAAGUGCAUCACAGAUCACGCACGCGUCCACACCUCAGAAAACACUCACUCAUUCCUGAGACGCAACGUCACAGCAACCUCCAAAAACCCAACUUUGCAAAGAUAUGGCAUCGUCAGAAGAAAUGGGGUGCAAUCUAAUGUUGACAGUGUGGAUGAGAGUGGGACACCUGCCAGUUGUUUGCAUCAGCAGACACUCAGAGUCCAUGGAAAAAAUGAGCCUAGAGGUUUUUAAACCACAACACAAGCAAAAGGCACCUGGUCCCGUUCCUCUUAAGACAGAAGAAAGAGGCGUAAAACCAGCUCCAGGUGCCACCCUUAAGAAAUGUUACAGUGCCGGAUGGGAAGAGUAAACCCUGAACAUCUCUUCUUAAUACUUUACAGACUUCAAGUGUAUUUUAUGGUGACAAAGCAUAUUGAAGACAAAUGAAACUCUACAACCCUGAAAACCAGCCUGAAUUAUUUUGAGAGACAGACAGUGGCUGCAAGGAGAAGCGUCGGGAUUUUCUGGGCUGGCCAUCUCCAGUGUCACUGACCCCGGUCUACCCCUGCAUGUUUGUUUACGGGAAAGGAGUUGAGGAGGAGGAUGUAUGGCUGAGAGCCUGAAAAUAAUCCAGGGCAGGUGGAGCGAGGAGAGGACUUUACUCCUCACACUCAUGUAGGCAUCCUGAAAAGCCACUUUUCUUUCCAAGGUGGGCACGGGCCUUGAGCUUGGAGUGGAGCCAGUUAAAGUUGUCCGCUCUGGGUCGUCAGAUGGAGAUCUUAUCUUGGGUCAUGAAUUGUGGUUUUAGGAGAAAGGCAGAAGCUAAACCCAUCUUCUGUCUGGUGGGGAGGCCCAGCAAAGGGCUCAGAAACACAGCCACAGGCCUCUUGCAGCAGCUGGAUGCACAUUUCAGGAGGUUGCCUGAAAGCAGAAUUGACUUCAGAGAGUAGGGCAGCAGAGCCCAGCCACAGAGUGGUCCCAGGAGCCAGGAAGUGCCACACAGCCCCUCGCUUAUUUUUACUCAGUAUGCCACAGAAGUCCUGACCUGUUAAAAGUGCCCUUUAAGAAUGGCUGGCCCACCCUCUCUCAGAGGGUUCAUGCUGGGGAGAGGGUUCCUGCAUGCCCGCUAAGCUCCAAAUGACAACCCAGGUGUAGAAAGGGCUUAGACUUUAGGGUUCAAACCCAUCCUAGAGUCCGGUCCAAGGCCAGUUACAGCCAAUGGGCAGUGGUAGGUGCAGCCCAGCCCAUUAGCUCAUUCUUGAGCCUCAGAGGGACAGAGCAGCACUAAUGGGUGCACAAAUGGCUAGAAUGUUCACCAACUCCUCGAGAGUGGCAUUGGACAUUUGGGCAAGGGUCUUAUGGAGGCUGAGAGUUGACUGUGGGCUCAUCACAGCUAUUUUGAGGGUCUUGACAGCCCAACUAGCAAACAAUUCUGCAGGGAUGAGAGGUCAGGGCAAAGGGAAAUGGCAUUGUCAAGUGGACAGCCAAAAAGUCCAGGAUGCCCCCAGGUCCUGGGGAACGGCGGGGGAGGAACUCAGGGACUGGAUUACCCACAGGACCUGGUGAGACCCACAGCCACGGGCUGACUUGUGUCCACUCAGAAGCGUAUGUUAAAAUCCUAACCCCCAGUACUUUGGAAUGUGACCUUAUUUGGAAAUAGAGACUUUGAAGAUGAUCAAGUUAAGAUGAAGUCAUGGGGCCGAGAGCGGUGGCUCACGCCCGUAAUCGCAGCACUUCGGGAGGCUGAGGCGGGCAGAUCACGAGGUCAGGAGAUCGAGAUCAUACUGGCUAACACGGUGAAACCCCUUCUCUACUAAAAAUACAAAAAAAAAAAAAUUAGCCGGGCAUGGUGGCGGGCACCUGUAGUCCCAGCUACUCAGGAGGCUGAGGCAGGAGAAUGGCAUGAACCCUGGAGGUGGAGCUUGCAGUGAGCCGAGAUCGUGCCACUGCACUCCAGCCUGGGAGACAGAGCGAGACUCCAUCUCAAAUAAAUAAAUAAAUAAAUAAAGAUGAAGUCAUUAGGGUAGACCCUAAAGCAACAGAGCUAGUGUCCUUGUAAAGAGGGGAAGUCUGGACACAGACACACACCUGCACUAAGGGAAGUGGGUGGGAAACACUGGGAAGAUGCCACAUGACUGCAGUGACGCAGCUGCACGCCAAGUGAUGCCUGGGGCACUGGAAGCCGGGGAGGGUUCCUGCCUGGCCCCUAAGCUCCAAAUGACAACCCAGGCAUAGGAAGGGCCUACACUUUGGGGUUCAAACCUAUCCUGGAGUCUGGUCCGGGGCCAGUUACAGCUAAUGGGCAGUGCUGGGUGCAGCCCAGCCCGUAAGCUCAUUCUUGAGCCCCAGAGGGACAGAGCAGCUCUAAUGGGUGCAAAAAUGGCUGGAAUAUUUCACCAACUCCUUGGGUGGGUGGGUGGGGGGGGGGCAUUGGACAUUUUGGGCAAGGGUCUUCUUGAGGCUGAGAGAGGCCAGGAAGGAGCUUCCCCUGGAGUUGUCUGGGAGUGGGACCCUGCUGACACCGACCUCAACUUUUGACUUCUGGCCUCUAGAGCUGUGAGAGACUAAACACCUGUGGUUUUAAGCCACCUGGUUUGUGUCACUUUGCUGUGGCAGCCACUAGAAACUAAUACACCCAACUAGAUACGUAUCUUUGUCACAGUUACAGGAAUCUUUAUUUUAUCCAAAAGCAAAAGACACUGAACUUUUGUGUACAUUCCAGGCCUGCUGAUUGUAGCUGGUCUAUAAGCUCGUGUCGGAGUCUAUGGUGGUUGAUUUUUGUGUCCCUUUGACUGAGCCACGAGGUAUUUGAUCAAACAUUAUUCCAGGUGUUUCUGUGAGGCUGCUUUUGGAUGAGAUUAACAUGUAAAUCAAUAGAGUCAAGCAAAUCGUUCUCCCCAAUGCAGAUGGGUUUCGUCCAUGCAGCUAGAGGCCUGAAAAGAAGGAAAAGCUGAUCAUCCUCGUGUAAGAGAGAAUCUCUCCUACCCAACGGCCUUCCAGCUGGGAUACUGGCUUUUUCUUGCCUUUAGACUUGAACUGAACAAUUGGCUCUUCCUGGCCUCAGGCUUUGGGACUCAGAAGCACACAUUGACUGUCCUGGGGCUCCAGCUUAUGGACUACCCUGCAGAAAGACUGUGGGACUCGUCAGCCAUCAUCAUCCUGUGAGCCAGUUUUACACAGACACACACACACACAGUCGCACUCUCAUGCUCACACAUACACACUCACACACAAUCACACACUUGCACACACACAGACACUCUUACACACUCAUUCACACACUCACAUGUGCACACACACAGUCUCUCACACACAUCACACACACACACACACACACACACACACACACACACUAUUGGUUCUGUUUCUCUGUAUAACCCUGAUGAAUUCAGGAUCUUAAAGGUUACCUAUUUCAUUGUAAUGCUGUUUUCUAGCACCAGGCUAGUCCUUUUGUCGGCAGAACUGGUAGGCUCACUUUUUUUUUUUUCAGACUGUUUUGUGUUUUAUUUUCUUCCAUUUACAAAAAAGCAUUUCUAAGCCAGGGCAGUGAAGCCUGACGCUACCGUUCACGGUCAGUGAAAUGAGCAUUCGAGGAUGGGACUCAGCCUGUCUGGACAGGUCCCCAGACAAAAAACACAGAGAAUCAAGAACGCAGGCGCUCCCUGUCGGACGCCAGGCCGGGCCCUGUGACAAGGAUCUCAGCGCUGGCGGUGGGGCUGCCCUGCGGGUUCGAGGCCUGGCUCUUCCUGCCCCACUGCCUGGUGUGUAGCCCAGGGGCCGGGCCGCCUGCGCCCCCCGCCGGGGGGCACGCCCGGCCCAGGGUUGGGGGUGUCCGGCUUGCCCCCAGGGGGCCAGCGGGGCCUCUGUUAUCUCGCUCCAGAACCGACAUCGCCAGCCAAGACCUUCCUCGUGGAGCCCUCGGUCUGGCCAAGGACGCUCCUUGGAGUCUGCUUAGACGCACAGCGGGCUCAGCUUUGCCAAAUUCUCCAAGGAGACUUUCCAUGAGGCGCCUCCUGCCAUCUGUGGGCGGCGUUGGGAACUGCGGCCACCGCUGCUUGGGAAUCAGGACGUCCCAGCUCCCAACCGGCGGUCAUUCAUUCCCUCAACACACACUCUGGGCCGCCCGCCUGGCUCCAGGCAGGCCCUCCGGGGACUCGGGAAAUAGGAGUUGUUAAACAUUUCUGAAACAUUCCUCUUCCAUUUAUUCUGUGAUUUUCUUCAGAAACACAAGGCGUGCACGAGUCAGCUUAUCAGCUUAUCCUUCACCCACACGUAGGCUCUUCUUUCCAAUCAAUUUUAUCUUUGUUUUUUUCUAAGAAAAUUUUAGGGAUUUUACUUGUUUUUGUUUUGUUUUUGGGUUUUUUUGUGUGUUUUGUUGUUGUUAUUUUGUUUUUUUUUUUUUUUGGUGGGGGGUUGGCUUGGUUUGGUUUUUGCUUCAUUUUUUAAUUUUAGGGAUUUUUAAAAAGCCAGCAUUCCUUAAUCUUCUGAUUGUUGUGUGACUGUUGUAUAAUAUUGAGAAAUACAUUCCUGUCAUCCACAACUAACAACCAUUAAUAAUGUGUCGUAUUGUUUACUUUUUUGUUUUUAACUAAAUUUUGCUUUGGGGAAGUAUCCAUGACGAUACAAUAUAGCUGUGAGAUAUUUCCUGUACCUGCUACGUAACACCCCUUCAUGUAAAACGCAGAGCAUUUGGUUUAUCCACAUCCCCCCGCCCCCCGCCCAUGCAUAUUAGUGGUUUCCAGUGCUAAAGGGACAGCGCCCCCCACGUGCAUUUCUCCAGGUACUGAGGCAGGAGAAUAGGGGCUGGAGGCAGGGGACCAAAGGCUGUUUCACUCAGACUUCCUACAACUAAAUUGAAAGGAAAACCCUAACUUUCCACUCCUAAGUAACAAAAGGACCAGAGGCUAUUCCCUUUCUAAACCCCCCCACCUUUUCCUCGAGGCAAAUGGGAAAUUGGCUGUCCGCAACCAAUCAGACUGAUUGUGGGUGGAGUCUUCGUUUGCACCUCUGUACCUUCGCUCCAGUCUCUGAACGGUUGCUGUCCACAACGAAUCAGACUGAUUGCGGGCUCAGCCUUCGUUUGCAUAGAAGUAUAACUUUGUAACUUCACCCUAGCCUCUGACUGGUUGCUUUUGGCACCUUCAUUUACAUGAGGUGAGCAUGAUGUGGCCAAUUGGAAACUUCUAGGGGAUAUUUGGACCCAAGAAGAUCCUGUAUCCAGGCCCUUGAGCCGCUGCUCGGGUCCGCUCCCAUACUGUGGAGUGUACUUUGGUUUUCAAUAAAUUCCUGCUUUCGUUCUUUUGCUGCUUCAUUCUUUCUUUGCUUUGUUGGGCGUUUUGUCCAAUUCUUUGUUCAAAAUGCCAAGAACCUGGACAAGUUGCAGUUAUGACCCUCGACCGGUGAUAGUAGCACUCGCUCCUAACAGCUUGGCUGCAGUAAGCCUAGGCUUCCAGGGAGAGCCUCUGCACCUGCUGCUGUGCUGCUUGAGUUCUCUCAGACAAGGAAGCAUGAAAAGGGCUGCCUUUUUCAAACAGCAGGGGAAGGAAAACACAGUGAUAACAAAUCCAAAUAUUAUUUCAAUUGAGAUCUUAUCAUAU